rnacentral:rRNA from 1 species
GACGAACGCUGGCGGCGUGCUUAACACAUGCAAGUCGAGCGGUAAGGCCCUUUCGGGGGUACACGAGCGGCGAACGGGUGAGUAACACGUGGGUGACCUGCCCUCAGCUCUGGGAUAAGCCUGGGAAACCGGGUCUAAUACUGGAUAUGACUCCAUGACGCAUGUUGUGGGGUGGAAAGCCUUGUGCGGCUGAGGAUGGGCCCGCGGCCUAUCAGCUUGUUGGUGGGGNGAUGGCCUACCAAGGCGACGACGGGUAGCCGGCCUGAGAGGGCGACCGGCCACACUGGGACUGAGACACGGCCCAGACUCCUACGGGAGGCAGCAGUGGGGAAUCUUGCGCAAUGCGCGAAAGCGUGACGCAGCAACGCCGC